CUGGAGUGCAGAUACAUCACUUCCGGUUCUAUGUUGGCGGCACGGUAGGCGUACGGAAGAGAUGUUCUCAGCCACAGCUGCUUGGUGCACUUCAUCAGGUCCAUCAGCCAAGCGCAGCGCCCGUGCCCAGGCAUGAAACUGUGCAAGUGGGAAGUCAUUGCUGAGUCCUGCAGCCCCAAAAGCCUGAAGGAUAAACACAGGUUAAAUAAAACCAAAGCCAAUAACGCACAAAAAGAAUCGCUGCCGUUUUACAGUUAUAAUGGAAAGGAAGACUCAGAGCAAAAUGAAUACAUUGGCCCACAUUUACUAUGAGUGGUGAGAACUUACCUUAUUGCCUACAGUAUCCAUAAGAUGGGCGGCUUUGAGCACCAACAGCCUCGCCUGAUCAAUCUCAGCUCUGGAUUUGGCAAUAUUUGCCAAGAUAGUGCCUUGUUCAGCC